rnacentral:rRNA from 1 species
CGGGAUCCAUCGGGCUUUGCUUGGUGGUGAGAGUGGCGAACGGGUGAGUAAUGCGUGACCGACCUGCCCCAUGCUCCGGAAUAGCUCCUGGAAACGGGUGGUAAUGCCGGAUGUUCCACAUGAUCGCAUGUGAUUGUGGGAAAGAUUCUAUCGGCGUGGGAUGGGGUCGCGUCCUAUCAGCUUGUUGGUGAGGUAACGGCUCACCAAGGCUUCGACGGGUAGCCGGCCUGAGAGGGCGACCGGCCACAUUGGGACUGAGAUACGGCCCAGACUCCUACGGGAGGCAGCAGUGGGGAAUAUUGCACAAUGGGCGCAAGCCUGAUGCAGCGACGCCGCGUGAGGGAUGGAGGCCUUCGGGUUGUAAACCUCUUUUGUUUGGGAGCAAGCCUUCGGGUGAGUGUACCUUUCGAAUAAGCGCCGGCUAACUACGUGCCAGCAGCCGCGGUAAUACGUAGGGCGCAAGCGUUAUCCGGAUUUAUUGGGCGUAAAGGGCUCGUAGGCGGCUCGUCGCGUCCGGUGUGAAAGUCCAUCGCUUAACGGUGGAUCUGCGCCGGGUACGGGCGGGCUGGAGUGCGGUAGGGGAGACUGGAAUUCCCGGUGUAACGGUGGAAUGUGUAGAUAUCGGGAAGAACACCGAUGGCGAAGGCAGGUCU